rnacentral:rRNA from 1 species
UGGGGAAUUUUGGACAAUGGGCGAAAGCCUGAUCCAGCAAUGCCGCGUGUGUGAAGAAGGCCUUCGGGUUGUAAAGCACUUUUGUCCGGAAAGAAAUCCUUGGCUCUAAUACAGUCGGGGGAUGACGGUACCGGAAGAAUAAGCACCGGCUAACUACGUGCCAGCAGCCGCGGUAAUACGUAGGGUGCAAGCGUUAAUCGGAAUUACUGGGCGUAAAGCGUGCGCAGGCGGUUUGCUAAGACCGAUGUGAAAUCCCCGGGCUCAACCUGGGAACUGCAUUGGUGACUGGCAGGCUAGAGUAUGGCAGAGGGGGGUUAGAAUUCCACGUGUAGCAGUGAAAUGCGUAGAGAUGUGGAGGAAUACCGAUGGCGAAGGCAGCCCCCUGGGCCAAUACUGACGCUCAUGCACGAAAGCGUGGGGAGCAAACAGGAUUAGAUACCCUGGUAGUCCACGCCCUAAACGAUGUCAACUAGUUGUUGGGGAUUCAUUUCCUUAGUAACGUAGCUAACGCGUGAAGUUGACCGCCUGGGGAGUACGGUCGCAAGAUUAAAACUCAAAGGAAUUGACGGGGUCAUAGCUGUUUCCU